rnacentral:rRNA from 1 species
AUGGUUCCUCGGGAGCCUCGGGAACCAGAAGCAGAAGACAAGAAGAAGGAAAGAGUCGCAGCCGAUGAUCCUUUCACGUGGAUUACAUCGAACUUUGGUACUUGCCCUGAGGAUGCUAAUGAGGAUAUGGUCAAGACAUAUGCUCGUGUCUACAUGUGGUACGUGAUAUCCAGGACUAUGUUUGCUGAUGGCACAUGCAAGAAUGCUCCAUGGAUGUGGCUGAAGGCGUUGACCGUCUUCGAUAGCAAAUGGAGUUGGGGUUCGGCGACACUGGCUUACUUGUAUCGACAGGUAUGA